GUGCUCGCUUUGGCAGCACAUAUACUAAAACUGGAAGAUGCAGAGAAGAUUAGCAUGGCCCCUACACAAGGAUGACACGCAAAUUUGUGAAGUGUUCCAUAAUUUU